rnacentral:rRNA from 1 species
AACGGACGCUGGCGGCAUGCCUAACACAUGCAAGUCGAACGAGACCUUCGGGUCUAGUGGCGCACGGGUGCGUAACGCGUGGGAACCUGCCCUUAGGUUCGGAAUAACUCCCCGAAAGGGGUGCUAAUACCGGAUAAUGUCUUCGGACCAAAGAUUUAUCGCCUUUGGAUGGGCCCGCGUUGGAUUAGCUAGUUGGUAGGGUAAAAGCCUACCAAGGCGACGAUCCAUAGCUGGUCUGAGAGGAUGAUCAGCCACACUGGGACUGAGACACGGCCCAGACUCCUACGGGAGGCAGCAGUGGGGAAUAUUGGACAAUGGGCGAAAGCCUGAUCCAGCAAUGCCGCGUGAGUGAUGAAGGCCUUAGGGUUGUAAAGCUCUUUUACACGGGAUGAUAAUGACAGUACCGGGAGAAUAAGCUCCGGCUAACUCCGUG